GGGGUUGUGGCUCAGUGGUAGAGUGCUCAGCCUAGCAUGCAGGAGGCACUGGGUUCGAUCCUCAUUACCACG
rnacentral:tRNA from 1 species